rnacentral:rRNA from 1 species
AUUGAACGCUGGCGGCAUGCCUUACACAUGCAAGUCGAACGGUAACAGGUCUUCGGAUGCUGACGAGUGGCGAACGGGUGAGUAAUACAUCGGAACGUGCCUAGUAGUGGGGGAUAACUACUCGAAAGAGUGGCUAAUACCGCAUGAGAUCUACGGAUGAAAGCAGGGGAUCGCAAGACCUUGUGCUACUAGAGCGGCCGAUGGCAGAAUAGGUAGUUGGUGGGAUAAAAGCUUACCAAGCCGACGGUCUGUAGCUGGUCUGAGAGGACGAUCAGCCAAACGGGGACUGAUACACGGCCCAUACUCCUACGGGAGGCAGCAGUGGGGAAUUUUGGACAAUGGGCGCAAGCCUGUUCCAGCAAUGCCGCGUGCAGGAUGAAGGCCUUCGGGUUGUAAACUGCUUUUGUACGGAACGAAAAGCCCCGGGUUAAUACCCUGGGGUCAUGACGGUACCGUAAGAAUAAGCACCGGCUAACUACGUGCCAGCCGCCGCCGUAA